rnacentral:rRNA from 1 species
UUCCUACGGGGGGCAGCAGUGGGGAAUAUUGCGCAAUGGGGGGAACCCUGACGCAGCAACGCCGCGUGAAGGAUGAAGGUUUUCGGAUUGUAAACUUCUUUGAUGAGGGACGAAACAAAUGACGGUACCUCAAAAACAAGCCACGGCUAACUACGUGCCAGCAGCCGCGGUAAUACGUAGGUGGCGAGCGUUGUCCGGAAUUACUGGGUGUAAAGGGCGUGUAGGCGGGGAUGUAAGUCAGAUGUGAAAUACCCGGGCUUAACCUGGGUGCUGCAUCUGAAACUAUGUUUCUUGAGUGCUGGAGAGGAAAGCGGAAUUCCCAGUGUAGCGGUGAAAUGCGUAGAGAUUGGGAGGAACACCAGUGGCGAAGGCGGCUUUCUGGACAGUAACUGACGCUGAGGCGCGAAAGCGUGGGGAGCAAACAGGAUUAGAUACCCCAGUAGUCCA